GACGAACGCUGGCGGCGUGCUUAACACACGCAAGUCGAACGGUAAGGCCCUUCGGGGUACACGAGUGGCGAACGGGUGAGUAACACGUGGGUGAUCUGCCCUGCACUUCGGGAUAAGCCUGGGAAACUGGGUCUAAUACCGGAUAGGACUCCUGGCUUCAUGGUUGGGGGUGGAAAGCUUUUGCGGUGUGGGAUGGGCCCGCGGCCUAUCAGCUUGUUGGUGGGGUAAUGGCCUACCAAGGCGACGACGGGUAGCCGGGCUGGGAGGGUGACCGGUGACACUGGGACUGGGAUACGGCCCAGACUCCUACGGGAGGCAGCAGUGGGGAAUAUUGCACAAUGGGCGCAAGCCUGAUGCAGCGACGCCGCGUGAGGGAUGACGGCCUUCGGGUUGUAAACCUCUUUCAGCUAUGACGAAGCGCAAGUGACGGUAGUAGCAGAAGAAGGACCGGCCAACUACGUGCCAGCCGCCGCGGUAACAC
rnacentral:rRNA from 1 species